rnacentral:lncRNA from 1 species
CUCAUGUUAUACUAGAUUCAAAAUCACGAAUACUCAUGUUAUACUAGUUCAGUCUUUUGCCAUUCAGUAUAGGUGGAUCUAUAAUUUUCUUGUCAUUAAUUUAUGUGUGUUUACAUUUGGUAUAUUAGUAUUGGAUGUGAUUUGUAGUUGUGCAGAUCCAUCUUUAGUUCAAGUGCUGCAGUCUGUUUGAUUUUUUGGUUUUGUUUUUAGGUUAAUUAAAUAUUAACUUGUUUACCCAAUGAUUGUGACUUAUAUGUUGGUCUAUACAGUUCUAGUACGUGGGCGGUCAAGACACGCGAAUCAUAUAGCAAAGCGGAAAUUGAUGAGGUGCGCAUUGAAGUGGUUGAUUAUAUGUAGAGUUUGGUGUAAGACUUUAGGCUACUAACAUGAUUUUGAGUAAGGCUAGUUUUUGCUUUGAAGGAAAGUUUGGUAAUCAUGAAUGA